UGCAGCAACGCCGCGUGAGGGAUGACGGCCUCUCGGGUUGUAAACCUCUUUUAGCAGGGAAGAAGCGAAAGUGACGGUACCUGCAGAAAAAGCGCCGGCUAACUACGUGCCAGCAGCCGCGGUAAUACGUAGGGCGCAAGCGUUAUCCGGAAUUAUUGGGCGUAAAGAGCUCGUAGGCGGUUUGUCGCGUCUGCUGUGAAAUCCCGAGGCUCAACUUCGGGUCUGCAGUGGGUACGGGCAGACUAGAGUGCGGUAGGGGAGAUUGGAAUUCCUGGUGUAGCGGUGGAAUGCGCAGAUAUCAGGAGGAACACCGAUGGCGAAGGCAGAUCUCUGGGCCGUAACUGACGCUGAGGAGCGAAAGGGUGGGGAGCAAACAGGCUUAGAUACCCUGGUAGUCCACCCCGUAAACGUUGGGAACUAGUUGUGGGGUCCAUUCCACGGAUUCCGUGACGCAGCUAACGCAUUAAGUUCCCCGCCUGGGGAGUACGGCCGCAAGGCUAAAACUCAAAGGAAUUGACGGGGACCCGCACAAGCGGCGGAGCAUGCGGAUUAAUUCGAUGCAACGCGAAGAACCUUACCAAGGCUUGACAUAUACGAGAACGCUGCAGAAAUGUAGAACUCUUUGGA
rnacentral:rRNA from 1 species